UGAGUAACACGUAUCCAACCUGCCGUCUACUCUUGGACAGCCUUCUGAAAGGAAGAUUAAUACAAGAUGGCAUCAUGAGUUCACAUGUUCACAUGAUUAAAGGUAUUCCGGUAGACGAUGGGGAUGCGUUCCAUUAGAUAGUAGGCGGGGUAACGGCCCACCUAGUCUUCGAUGGAUAGGGGUUCUGAGAGGAAGGUCCCCACAUUGGAACUGAGACACGGUCCAA
rnacentral:rRNA from 1 species